rnacentral:rRNA from 1 species
CUAUGCGCCUUGCCAGCCCGCUCAGUCAGAGUUUGAUCCUGGCUCAGGACGAACGCUGGCGGCGUGCUUAACACAUGCAAGUCGAACGGAAAGGCCCUGCUUUUGUGGGGUGCUCGAGUGGCGAACGGGUGAGUAACACGUGAGUAACCUGCCCUUGACUUUGGGAUAACUUCAGGAAACUGGGGCUAAUACCGGAUAGGAGCUCCUGCUGCAUGGUGGGGGUUGGAAAGUUUCGGCGGUUGGGGAUGGACUCGCGGCUUAUCAGCUUGUUGGUGGUAGUGGCUUACCAAGGCUUUGACGGGUAGCCGGCCUGAGAGGGUGACCGGCCACAUUGGGACUGAGAUACGGCCCAG